rnacentral:lncRNA from 1 species
GCCAAUGUAUACUCGGCUGGGAUUUGAUAUGUUGGCGGGAAUUUUUGUAGUCGGUUAGAGUCUAGGCUGCGUUCCUGGAUGCUGAUCACCAAAUACCACUUGGGAAGCGAUGGUGAAUUUUCAGCAUCCAGGAACGCGUUCACUUGGAGUUCAUGGCGAGGAGGUAUAUUUUCUUUUCUUGUCUCUGCCUCCAUUGCAAAAAAAAUUCUAUCUGUGCAGAUGUUUGGCUUUGUUGAUCCUAUGGUACAGUUUCUCCUAGGGGACUUGUUUCUGCUUCAUUGAAAAAAGAUGAGACAGAAGUCAAUGUGCAAAGUUCACUGGAAGGAAAUAGGAAGCGAGUGUUAUCUCCGUGGCCA